rnacentral:rRNA from 1 species
GUUGAUAUUCCUGUACCACCUAUAAUCGUUUUAAUCGAUGGGGGGACGCAGUAGGAUAGGCGAAGCGUGCGAUUGGAUUGCACGUCUAAGCAGUAAGGCUGGGUAUUAGGCAAAUCCGGUACUCGUUAAGGCUGAGCUGUGAUGGGGAGAAGACAUUGUGUCUUCGAGUCGUUGAUUUCACACUGCCGAGAAAAGCCUCUAGAUAGAAAAUAGGUGCCCGUACCGCAAACCGACACAGGUAGUCAAGAUGAGAAUUCUAAGGUGAGCGAGCGAACUCUCGUUAAGGAACUCGGCAAAAUGACCCCGUAACUUCGGGAGAAGGGGUGCUCUUUAGGGUUAACGCCCAGAAGAGCCGCAGUGAAUAGGCCCAAGCGACUGUUUAUCAAAAACACAGGUCUCUGCUAAACCGUAAGGUGAUGUAUAGGGGCUGACGCCUGCCCGGUGCUGGAAGGUUAAGAGGAGUGGUUAGCUUCUGCGAAGCUACGAAUCGAAGCCCCAGUAAACGGCGGCCGUAACUAUAACGGUCCUAAGGUAGCGAAAUUCCUUGUCGGGUAAGUUCCGACCCGCACGAAAGGCGUAACGAUUUGGGCACUGUCUCAACGAGAGACUCGGUGAAAUCAUAGUACCUGUGAAGAUGCAGGUUACCCGCGACAGGACGGAAAGACCCCGUGGAGCUUUACUGUAGCCUGAUAUUGAAAUUCGGCACAGCUUGUACAGGAUAGGUAGGAGCCUUUGAAACGUGAGCGCUAGCUUACGUGGAGGCGCUGGUGGGAUACUACCCUAGCUGUGUUGGCUUUCUAACCCGCACCACUUAUCGUGGUGGGAGACAGUGUCAGGCGGGCAGUUUGACUGGGGCGGUCGCCUCCUAAAAGGUAACGGAGGCGCUCAAAGGUUCCCUCAGAAUGGUUGGAAAUCAUUCAUAGAGUGUAAAGGCAUAAGGGAGCUUGACUGCGAGACCUACAAGUCGAGCAGGGUCGAAAGACGGACUUAGUGAUCCGGUGGUUCCGCAUGGAAGGGCCAUCGCUCAACGGAUAAAAGCUACCCCGGGGAUAACAGGCUUAUCUCCCCCAAGAGUUCACAUCGACGGGGAGGUUUGGCACCUCGAUGUCGGCUCAUCGCAUCCUGGGGCUGUAGUCGGUCCCAAGGGUUGGGCUGUUCGCCCAUUAAAGCGGUACGCGAGCUGGGUUCAGAACGUCGUGAGACAGUUCGGUCCCUAUCCGUCGUGGGCGUAGGAAAUUUGAGAGGAGCUGUCCUUAGUACGAGAGGACCGGGAUGGACAUACCUCUGGUGUACCAGUUGUCGUGCCAACGGCAUAGCUGGGUAGCUAUGUGUGGACGGGAUAAGUGCUGAAAGCAUCUAAGCAUGAAGCCCCCCUCAAGAUGAGAUUUCCCAACUUCGGUUAUAAGAUCCCUCAAAGAUGAUGAGGUUAAUAGGUUCGAGGUGGAAGCAUGGUGACAUGUGGAGCUGACGAAUACUAAUCGAUCGAAGACUUAAUCAA